AUGCCUCGUGGGGGCAGUAGCCAGAGCGAAGCAGAGCCUGGCUCAGAGCCAGCCGGGGGGGCCCCUGUGGGGAGCCGAGCGGCCGAGCGGCCGAGGAAGGCCACGCCCCCCUCCCCGUCACACACCCCCCUGGGCAGGCUGGGCCAGAACGCGCGGGGCGGCGUGGGGCUGCUGGGACAGGGACUCAAGCAGCUGUUCCAGCAGCAGCGCAAGCGGCUCUCCUCCGCCCAACGCUCCACCUUCACCUCUUCCUCCUCCUCCUCCUCCUCCUCUUCCGCCUCUUCCUCCGCCUCGUCCUCCUCUUCGGCGCUGUCGCCGGCCGUCGGCCCUCCUCCCGCUCCCGAGACGGCGCCCAUGGCCCCCCCGCCCCCGCCCUCGCCCUCGCCCUCGCCCCGGGGCCGGCCCGACUCUGACCGGCUGUGUGUGGUUCCCCCCGCCGCCCCCCCCCCCGCAGCUGGCCAGGGCUCCGCAGCUCCGCCGGGGCCCAGGAUGAGGCGCGGCACCAGCCUGCAGAGCCGCCGCAGCAAGGGCUCCAGCUCGGGCUCCGCCAGCGGGGAGCGCGAGCCGCCGCGCAGGGGCAGCCCGCAGGCCUUCCACCGGCGCCACACCCACGACCCGCAGCACCACACCGCGCGCCCGCGCUCCGCCUCCUCCCACAGCGACCACCACCCGGCGGCCGUCAGCCCCGGCUCGGGCUACGGCCCGCCGCUGUCGCCCGGAGAUGUCGUGCUGCUGUCGUCGCCGGGAUGCCACUCCUCCGACGAGACGGACAGGGUGAGUGACCGAUCGUGUUCUCACCACAGGGGGGUCGGGGAAGGGGAAGGGGGGGGGGGGGGGGGGGGGUUUAGGGCUUCCUUUACACCCACCUCGCCGGACCCGCGUCCGAUCCCUCAUCAUCGGUGUGUCGCUUCGUUGCGGUGCUGUUGUUGGGUUCCCGGGGGUUUCUCGGUUGUGACUCCCACGCUAGGUCUUAUUGCAGUGUCGGGGGCAGUCUGUGAUUCUGACGAGCGUGUGAGGCCGUGUUUGUAUGUGAGUGACAAGAGGUGGCGUGUGUUUGAAUGUUUUUAA
rnacentral:lncRNA from 1 species